ensembl:lncRNA LINC01600 long intergenic non-protein coding RNA 1600
GACGCCGCCCCGCCCCGAGCGGAUGCCACCCCGUUUCCAGCCUCCGGUGCUCACCGUAAUGCUCACAACAACCUAGCAAAGUGGGGAUCAUCUUCACCACUGUACAGAUGAAGAAAUUGAAGGUCAGACAUUCAAGGUUAUGUGGCCACAUGAGAGAAAUACCAGAGCUGGGAUGAAGACUCAACGGCUCUCAGACACCAGGUUGCUUCUUGAGAGAAGCCGGAUGGAUGUGCAUGCAGGGAGGCCUCCUUCACCUGUGGGCAGGAGAUGUUUGUGACGUUCCUUCCGGUCAGCAGGACUUCAGGAAGAGCCGCCGCUAAGCCUGGGGGCAGGACUAGCCAGGCUCCCUACUGAGGCCUUCUCAUGUUCCUGACAAGGCCGAGGGGAAGUUGCCUCUGAGGAACGGCCUACAGUGGCUUACAACUCCCGGGAGGGAUGUGGAAUCUAUCCCCCCAACAGCCCAUGAAGACUUAUAAAAGCUGACAGAUGCAAGGUUUUCAGCCAUGCCUUUGAUAAGAUACUAUAAAAGUAAAGUAGCUUCUGCCCUAAAAGCUGAGCGCUAUUUCCAGAAAAUCAACAAUGGAAAUGAUAGGCAUUUCUUUUGAAACUGGCACAUUCAUAAUGGACAUAGAAGAAUCAACAUAAGAAAGUAGCAGGUAUUGGUCUUUCCUGUGGUCCCUGAUGAUCUAUCCACUUGACCUCUUCAGGAACAUUCCCUGGAAGCAGGGGAAGUGCUUUGCUUCCCUGUCUCCCGAGGGAGAAAGGGCAUUUGAUGGCAUGGAGCCACUCUGCCAGCCAGGAGCCAGGCCCGCUCUAAGGGGGCUACAGCAUGCCUCAGAUUGCUACAGGCUCCUCUCCCCUCCCGGGUCCGGCCUUGUCGGCACCAACCCCUCAGUUCCUGCCCCAUCUCCCCACUGCGGUUGCUGUCAGGCCUGGAGCAUUUCCUCCUUCACUUUCACGGGUCCCACACCCUUCAAGAUCAACAGUGACCAGGCCACUCCCUGCCAUCUGAGAAGCCCAGAAACCAUCUUCCGUCAGAGGGAGAUUAGCAAUGAAGCUUUCUGACGUCUCUCCCUGUACCAGGCUCAAAAGGAAUUUCAUCCUUUCUUUCCAUUCACUGCAAUGAGCUCUCACACUCAUUUGAAAUGUGCGGCCUGAUGACCCACACACCUCUCAGGGGAGCCAUGGCCCCACGGCUGUCUCCCCCUGAAGAUGUCGUCCCUGUCUGAGCCCCUCCUCAUUACAGGAGAGAACGAGCACCUGCCAGCACCGGCAGCCCCUCGAUCCUAACCUCAGAUGGCACCCUUUGGGUGCGGAGUGGGAAAGGAAGAAGACUCAGCUGGUGAAGGCUCAGUACUUUUCCUUUUCCGCAAUCACUAAGUAAUUUUCUCAUCCUUGAAAGCAAUUUUCUGCUGAAAUUCAGAAAGAACUUAUUUUGAAGUUACGCCAGUAAAAGCUCUGGAAACUGUGAUGGGAGCUUGUGCUGGAAGCCGAGGACAGAGCUCCAUGCUGAUUCUCCAUUCCUCUUAUUUAUUUGCAUGAUCUGAGCUAAUUUCUCAGCUGUAAUCUACACCACCCACCACCUAGAAACUUCCCAGAAACGUCCAGCAGGGGAGGGGUGGGAACGAGAAAGAAAGCACCCAACGCUCUGGCAGGGUCUGCGCAGCCGCCAGACUCUGUUUCUAGACGGUCACGGCCGACUUAGUAAUUCACUUAGAAGAUCUCCUGAAAUAAGCACAAAAUGUUGGCAGCAAAUGGUCAAAGGGAAAUGCCCCAGUUUUCUUAGGGGACGGACCCUGUUACUUUAUCAGAUAGCAGUGUGAGCUGAAGUGUGAAGACAGGGCAGACACUAAUGGUAUUUUGUUCAUCCUGAAUUUUUUUUUUUGGCAUUAAUUUUGAUCUUUAAAAAAUAUUGCAUUAGGAAAUGUAAAUGCAUAUGAGUAAGUGAAAGAAACCAAUCUGGAAAGUCUACACACCGUACGAUUCCAGCUAUAUGACAUUCUGGAAAAGGCAAGAAUAGAGAGGCAGUAAAAAGAUCAGCAAAGAGUAAAAAAUAAGUCGGAAAGGGACAAAUAAGGUUCUUAGGGUGUGGAGACUACAUCUGUGUGAUAGUACGAUGGGUGGGUACAUGGCAUUAUGCAUUUGUCCAAACCCACCGAACGGACAACACCAAGAGGGAACCCUGCUAUAAACUGUGGCCUCUGUGCGAUCAUGAUGUGUCAAUAUGGGUUCAUCAGCUGUGACAAAUGAACCCCACAGGUUGGGGAUGUUGACAUGGGGGAGGCUGUGCAUAUGUUGGGGAAGGUGAUAUGUGGGAACUCUCUAUACCUUCUGCCCAAUAUUAUUGCGAACCUAAAACUGCUCUCAAAAAUAUAGCCUAAGAAAAAGUAACUUUAAUCUUGGGAGUUAUUGUUUACUGGGUACAGAGUUUCAGUUCUGGAAGGUGAAAAGAGUUCUGGAGGUAGAUGGAGGUGAUAUUUGUACAACAAUGUGAAUACUUAGUGCCAUUGAACCGUACACUUAAAAAUAGUUCAGACGGCUAACUUUAUGUUGUGUA